UCUAGUAACACUUGUAAACAAUGAAAACUUUUUGGAAUCUCAAUCUGGGACCGUCACCCUGGGAUCUACAUAACGGGGGAGGGAAGGAGCAAAAACAAAUGAGAGUGCCAUCGAACGUCCAUGCCAACCAGCAAAAUUAUUAGGCCUAACACAACUUCAAAGACAUCAAAGCAGUGUUGAAGUCCAUGCCGCUCGUGCAUAGCAAAAAAAAAGAUUUGUGCAGACUCCAUCCUGUAAGUCAGUUCAUGAACAGAUUGAUAUACACAAAAUGUCAGGAGGCAGGAUUGGCAAAGUGGCAUUAAUCUUUUCUAUGUCCAGACAAUGUUCCUACAUGAAGUCAUGUAAAGUACAUGGAUGAAGAUGUGCAUAGAGAACUGAACAGGGCAUUGGGACAUUGGAAUUAAGAUCAAACAAACAUGGAGGAAAUGUAUUUCCAGAACUAAACAUGCCUCCUUGCCAUUGUGAUUGAGGCCACAAUGACAACAAAAGAACAAAAAAAAAUGUGACUCCUGGCCACUCUACAUGUUUGUUUGGAAACUGUAGACAAAGUGUCAGUUGAUCUCAAAUUUAUUAAAUUGAUAAAAUAAUCCAUAAGUUGUUUGGCAUUUAAUUAUAUUGCAUAUGUAAAUAAUUAAAGAAGUUGUAUAAAAAGACAUACACUAAUAUUUUGGUACAAACACAAAACGAAAUUGAAAGAUUUUAUUCAACAUGUCACUCUUUACUAAGCAAGAAAUGUGUAUCUAU